rnacentral:rRNA from 1 species
UCAAAGAUUAAGCCAUGCAUGUCUAAGUAUAAGCAAUUUGUACUGUGAAACUGCGAAUGGCUCAUUAAAUCAGUUAUCGUUUAUUUGAUAGUACCUUACUACAUGGAUACCUGUGGUAAUUCUAGAGCUAAUACAUGCUAAAAACCUCGACUUCGGAAGGGGUGUAUUUAUUAGAUAAAAAACCAAUGCCCUUCGGGGCUCCUUGGUGUAUCAUAAUAACUUAGCGAAUCGCAUGGCCUUGCGCCGGCGAUGGUUCAUUCAAAUUUCUGCCCUAUCAACUUUCGAUGGUAGGAUAGUGGCCUACCAUGGUGGCAACGGGUAACGGGGAAUUAGGGUUCGAUUCCGGAGAGGGAGCCUGAGAAACGGCUACCACAUCCAAGGAAGGCAGCAGGCGCGCAAAUUACCCAAUCCCGACACGGGGAGGUAGUGACAAUAAAUACUGAUACGGGGCUCUUUUGGGUCUCGUAAUUGGAAUGAGUACAAUCUAAAUCCCUUAACGAGGAACAAUUGGAGGGCAAGUCUGG